UACGGAGGGUGCAAGCGUUAUCCGGAUUCACUGGGUUUAAAGGGUGCGUAGGCGGAUAUGUAAGUCCGUGGUGAAAUCUCUGGGCUUAACCCGGAAACUGCCAUGGAUACUAUGUGUCUUGAAUGUUGUUGAGGUGAGCGGAAUAUGUCAUGUAGCGGUGAAAUGCUUAGAUAUGACAUAGAACACCAAUUGCGGAGGCAGCUCACUAAGCAAAUAUUGACGCUGAGGCACGAAAGCGUGGGGAUCAAACAGG
rnacentral:rRNA from 1 species